CCUACGCGAGACUGCAGUGAGGAAUAUUGGUCAAUGGGCGGGAGCCUGAACCAGCCAAGUCGCGUGAGGGCAGACGGUCCUAUGGAUUGUAAACCUCUUUAGGCGGGGAGCAAUGCCGGGCACGUGUGCCCGGAGGGAGAGUACCCGCAGAAUAAGCAUCGGCUAACUCCGUGCCAGCAGCCACGGUAAUACGGAGGAUGCGGGUGUUAUCCGGAUUUAUUGGGUUUAAAGGGUGCGUAGGCGCAUUUUUAAGUCAGCGGUAAAAUGUCCGGGCUCAACCCGGGCCGGCCGUUGAAACUGGGGAUCUUGAUGUGGCGAGAAGUAUGCGGAAUGCGUGGUGUAGCGGUGAAAUGCAUAGAUAUCACGCAGAACUCCGAUUGCGAAGGCAGCAUACCGGCGCCCGACUGACGCUGAUGCACGAAAGCGUGGGGAUCGAACAGGAUUAGAUACCCCUGUAGUC
rnacentral:rRNA from 1 species